GAUGAAGAACGUAGCGAAAUGCGAUAAGUAAUGCGAAUUGCAGGUUUCAGUGAGUCAUCGAAUCUUUGAACGCACAUUGCGCCCGCCAGUAUUCUGGCGGGCAUGCCUGUUCGAGCGUCAUUUCAACCAUCAAGCCCCCGGGCUUGCGUUGGGGCCCUGCGGCUGCCGCAGGCCCCGAAAAGCAGUGGCGGGCUCGCUGUCACACCGAGCGCAGUAGCGAUUCUCGCUCCGGGCGUCGGCGGCGGGCACCGGCCGUGAAACCCCCCCACAUCCACAAGGUUGACCUCGGAUCAGGUAGGAAUACCCGCUGAACUUAAGCAUAUCAAUAAGCGGAGGA
rnacentral:misc_RNA from 1 species